rnacentral:rRNA from 1 species
UACGUAUGGGGCAAGCGUUAUCCGGAUUUAUUGGGCGUAAAGCGCGCGUAGGCGGAUUGUUAAGUCGGAUGUGAAAACCGGGGGCUCAACCCGCGGCCUGCAUCUGAAACUGGCAGUCUUGAGUCUGGUAGAGGAAAGUGGAAUUCCUGGUGUAGCGGUGAAAUGCGCAGAUAUCAGGAGGAACACCAGUGGCGAAGGCGGCUUUCUGGGCCACGACUGACGCUGAGGCGCGAAAGCUAGGGGAGCGAACAGG